GACGAACGCUGGCGGCGUGCCUAAUACAUGCAAGUAGAACGCUGAAGAGAGGAGCUUGCUCUUCUUGGAUGAGUUGCGAACGGGUGAGUAACGCGUAGGUAACCUGCCUUGUAGCGGGGGAUAACUAUUGGAAACGAUAGCUAAUACCGCAUAACAAUGGAUGACACAUGUCAUUUAUUUGAAAGGGGCAAUUGCUCCACUACAAGAUGGACCUGCGUUGUAUUAGCUAGUAGGUGAGGUAAUGGCUCACCUAGGCGACGAUACAUAGCCGACCUGAGAGGGUGCUCGGCCACGCUGGGACUGAGACACGGCCCAGACUCCUACGGGAGGCAGCAGUAGGGGAUCUUCGGCAAUGGGGGCAACCCUGACCGAGCAACGCCGCGUGAGUGAAGAAGGUUUUCGGGUCGUAAAGCUCUGUUGUAAGUCAAGAACGGGUGUGAGAGUGGAAAGUUCACACUGUGACGGUAGCUUACCAGAAAGGGACGGCUAACUACGUG
rnacentral:rRNA from 1 species